AUCGUGGUAAACUUUGAAUAUA
rnacentral:miRNA from 1 species